rnacentral:rRNA from 1 species
AUACGAAGGAUGCGAGCGUUAUCCGGAUUUAUUGGGUUUAAAGGGAGCGUAGGCGGGAGCUUAAGUCAGCGGUUAAAUGGUGCGGCUCAACCGUGCCCUGCCGUUGAAACUGGGUUUCUUGAGAGUGCAAGAGGCGGAUGGAAUUCAUGGUGUAGCGGGGAAAUGCUUAGAUAUCAUGAAGAACUCCGAUUGCGAAGGCAGUCCGCUGGGGCACGUCUGACGCUGAUGCUCGAAGGUGCGGGAAUCAAACAGGAUUAGAUACCCUGGUAGUCCGCACGGUAAACGAUGAUUACCCGCUGUCGGCGGUAGACAGUCGGAGGCCAAGCGAAAGCGAUAAGUAAUCCACCUGGGGAGUACGCCGGCAACGGUGAAACUCAAAUGAAUUGACGGGG